GACGAACGCUGGCGGCGUGCUUAACACAUGCAAGUCGAACGAUGAAGCCUAGCUUGCUAGGUCGAUUAGUGGCGAACGGGUGAGUAACACGUGACUAACCUGCCCCUUUCUCUGGGAUAACGCUCCGAAAGGAGUGCUAAUACCGGAUACUCACACCGAGGCACAUGCCUUGGUGUGGAAAGUUUUUCGGAAAGGGAUGGAGUCGCGGCCUAUCAGCUUGUUGGUGAGGUAACGGCUCACCAAGGCGACGACGGGUAGCCGGCCUGAGAGGGGGACCGGCCACACUGGGACUGAGACACGGCCCAGACUCCUACGGGAGGCAGCAGUGGGGAAUAUUGCACAAUGGGCGCAAGCCUGAUGCAGCAACGCCGCGUGAGGGAUGACGGCCUUCGGGUUGUAAACCUCUUUUAGUAGGGAAGAAGCGAAAGUGACGGUACCUGCAGAAAAAGCACCGGCUAACUACGUGCCAGCCGCCGCCGUAA
rnacentral:rRNA from 1 species